AUGUCCUUUUUUUUAAAAUUAAAAACAAUCUGUUCUUAACAGUUUAACCUCUGUUACGUCCCCUAACAGGGGCCGGUGUAUGGAAUAGAUUUUAGGAACCGGGAUGUGGAAAAAGAUGCUUGGUCGGUCCUCUUACUUCCAAUUUGGGGCACUGCGCGUAUGGCUUGCAAUGUACAGUACUGUGCCACCAUAU